AUUGAACGCUGGCGGCAGGCCUAACACAUGCAAGUCGAGCGAGCGGCGGACGGGUGAGUAAUGUCUGGGAAACUGCCUGAUGGAGGGGGAUAACUACUGGAAACGGUAGCUCAUACCGCAUACCAUCAGAUGUGCCCACAUGGGAUUAGCUAGUGGGGGGGGUAAUGGCUCACCUAGGCGACGAUCCCUAGCGGGUCUGAGAGGAUGACCAGCCACACUGGAACUGAGACACGGUCCAGACUCCUACGGGAGGCAGCAGUGGGGAAUAUUGCACAAUGGGCGCAAGCCUGAUGCAGCCAUGCCGCGGGUGUGAAGAAGGCCUUCGGGUUGUAAAGCACUUUCAGCGGGGAGGCGUUACCCGCAGAAGAAGCACCGGCUAACUCCGUGCCAGCAGCCGCGGUAAUAC
rnacentral:rRNA from 1 species